GCUGGACCUGUGCCUCACUCUCCCCAGCAGGGGGGUCUGAGUGACCCCUUCUCUCCUCUCCUCUGCUCCCUCCCUGCUCUGGGCUGCCACCGCCCAUCUCCGGGGACCAGUCAGUAGCUCCCACCACCCUGGUCCUGUUUUUGCCCAGGGGCUGCCUGCCCCAGUCCCCCCCCCCCCCAGCAGCCCCUCCUCUCCUGGCUCGGGAAGCUCUGUGCCCGCGUCCCCUGCAUCCCGCAUCCCUCUCACCUCUGCUGCUUGGCUGGCAGCCCUGGAACUCGCUGUCCUCAGAAUCCACCAGCCCCUGCACUUCCCCAGGCUUCCCUGCGAAUCCUGGGGGUCUCUGUGUGAUGGGGAGAUCAGCCAGUGCCGAUGAAUGGUUCCUCCAAGGUCUCACCCUGGACCCUGAGCGGAUGACCCAAGGAUUCCUUCCAGCCACAUGCUCUGCUCCCUGAGAGGUACUUAAAACCGUGGGAAAUACGACAGCUCAGGAGUCACGAGGUGCAGUUUUCAAUCCUGGUCCUGUCCUGAGCCAGCUGUGUGAUUUCAGGUUGGCCUCCAACUCCCUCGGGAUCAAUAAAGGGGGGGGGGGGUGGACCAGAAUCUGAGCUCUCAGUUGCCUCCAGCUCCAGCUUCCACUGGGCCUGACCCAUCUCGCUAUCCCUCAAGUUCAACAGUCAGCUCUCAGCAUGUGGCCGCUGGGUGGGGGAGGGGGGCUCCCUCGGGGAUGCCCAGAGCAACUGGGUCACUUGAGUUAGGACAGAGA